GCCACAUAACUACAUAACUAACUCUCAUAUUUUUAUUUAAUAGCACGCAACUACGGAACAUAAUGAAAAUACACAACAUAGCUUGACUAGCAGAAGAUAUUAAAAACGACAAGGACGUAAAUGCAAAUAACACAAACAGAACAUUUUAGGCAUGCUUAAUAUUAACCGGUAACUGCCACCAUCAUUCUUCCAUCACCAAUCACUACCAUCGCCUAGUUGGUCAUACCCGGUCUGGUAGUCAUUGUUCUUAUAAACUUGCUGCGAUUGAUUGACCUGGUAUUCUCCGGUGGACUUAUUGCCGACCGUAGUAGUACGAUAUUGACGGGACUCAUUAGGAUUAAUCUUCUCGGUCACGGUGUUUCGAAUAUAUUCACCGGUGUUCUUGUUCUCCCAAUACGUCACUUGCUUCUGGUUGAUUCCAGCGUUUCCACCAUUCGAGCUGUGAGUAGAAACAGCUUUGCCGGAGUUUCCUGGAACAACCACAGCAUAGCCAGAGGUCGCAUACGUCUUUCCAUUCUUAUCCAUUUGAAGAAUUGAGAAAGAGAAAGAUAUAUGGUGC
rnacentral:lncRNA from 1 species